ACCUCAGGUGAGCCAAUGCUUGAGAACUAUUAGGCUGGAUCAUUCUGUUGCAGUAAAGGUUGGCUCUUAGUGAUCUCAGAGGCCGGUCUUCACUUCACGCUCAGCUGUGUGUAACACCACCAACACCUGGCAAAGCACCAACUUCCUUAAUGAGUGCUGGCAUUGUGCAAAGUAUAGUAAGUGUUCUGUUUACUGUUAGAAGGAGGCUCGGGAAACUUAGGGCCUAGGUUUCUGUUUACAUCUCAGACACCAACUGUCAACAACCACAGGAAGGCCGUUCCCUUUCUCUGGGACCUGAAAAGAGGGGCGGGGAAAUAAACGGAAACACAUUCCAAAGACGUUUCAAAUGCCAGCUAUUAGGGAGACCAGGGCUGUGGGUUCUGGGCUUAGGGCUGUCACUAAGGUGAGAGGUGAUGUGGGGCCUCUAGUCAGACCUCCAUUUCUUAUCUGCAGAGAUUGGCCUGGAUGACCUCAAAUGACCUCACUGGCAACGGGAAGUAGGGAGAAAAAAAGCAAGAGUCACAGAAUACAAAACAAGGCCAAAUGCAAACAAACCAGCAAACAAACAACAACAACAACAACAAAACCCAGGCCACACGUGGAGGAGCCUUGCUAAGGACUGUGCCUUCCUGUCCACCUUGACUAAAGCAAAUGGAGCCCAUCAUAGAAAACCACAACUGGACACAUGCAGAGAUCAACAGCUCCUGGGGAGCCCACCCCAGUGGAUACAUCUACAUCACAGCUCCUGCGUCAGGUCCAUCACAGAAGAGGGGCCAGACAGGUUGUCAGAAUACAAAAAGUCUACAGAAAAACAGUCUCCUGGAAGUGGGGCGUAAUCAACACUGAAAUCAUAGCAACACCAAUAGAUAUAUUCCUGUGGAAGGGGGAAGACUUUUUUGAGUGCCCCAGACCACAGGCAACCAAUAAAAGCUGGGAGAAGAAUUAGCCUCGCUCAGAGAUGAGCCUCCUUCGUGGUUGUUCAAUGUGAAGUGGUCAGCCUCAAAACCAUACAGACACCAUCAGCAAAAACAGACUCAGAAGACUCUGUAUAUAUUUGUGUGGACACACAUACACACAUUUUCAUAUAUAUGUAUGUAACAAUAAUAAUCAAAGAAAAGGAGGCUAUCAAUUCGUAAAGGGGAUCUGGGAGAGGCUGGAGAGAGGAAAGGUUGGAAAGUGAUGUAAAUCUAUUUCAGAUAAAUAAA